rnacentral:misc_RNA from 1 species
GAUGAAGAACGUAGCGAAAUGCGAUAAGUAAUGUGAAUUGCAGAAUUCAGUGAAUCAUCGAAUCUUUGAACGCACAUUGCGCCCGCUAGUAUUCUGGCGGGCAUGCCUGUUCGAGCGUCAUUUCAACCAUCAAGCUCCUUAGCUUGUGUUGGGGACCUGCGGCUGCCGCAGCCCCCGAAAUGCAGUGGCGGGCUCGUUGUCACACCGAGUGCAGUAAUCAUUCUUCUCUCCGGGCGUGGCGGCGGGUUCCGGCCGUAAAAUCACCAAUUUAUCAAGGUUGACCUCGGAUCAGGUAGGAAUACCCGCUGAACUUAAGCAUACAAUAAGCGGAGGA